UUUGCUGACGAGUGGCGCACGGGUGAGUAAUAUAUAGGUAACGUGCCUCUUAGUCUGGUAUAGCCAUUGGAAACGAUGAUUAAUACUAGAUACUCCUUCUCAUUAUAAUUUGAGUCGGGAAAGUUUUUCGCUAAGAGAUCGGCCUAUAUCCCAUCAGUUAGUUGGUAAGGUAACGGCUUACCAAGGCAAUGACGGGUAGCGGGUUUGAGAGGAUGAUCCGCCACACUGGUACUGAGACACGGACCAGACUCCUACGGGAGGCAGCAGUGAGGAAUAUUGCACAAUGGAGGAAACUCUGAUGCAGCAACGCCGCGGGAGGAUGACGCAUUUCGGUGUGUAAACUCCUUUUAUAAGGGAAUAAAAUGACGGAACCUUAUGAAUCACCCCCGGCUAACUCCGUGCCAGCAGCCGCGGUAAUACGGAGGGUGCAAGCGUUACUCGGAUUCACUGGGCGUAAAGGACACGUAGGCGGGUUGUCAAGUCAGGUGUGAAAUCCUACAGCUUAACUGUAGAACUGCACUUGAAACUGGCAACCUAGAGUAUGGGAGGGGGAGAUGGAAUUAGUGGUGUAGGGGUAAAAUCCGUAGAUAUCACUAGGAAUACCGAAAGCGAAGGCGAUCUCCUGGAACAUUACUGACGCUAAGGUGUGAAAGCGUGGGGAGCAAACGGGAUUAGAUACCCCCCGGUAGUCCACGCCCCUAAAACGAUGAACACCUAGCUCGUUCGGGGAUGCUUA
rnacentral:rRNA from 1 species